GUUGAACGCUGGCGGCGGGCCUAAUACAUGCAAGUCGAACGGUAACAGGAAGCGGCUUGCUGCUUCGCUGACGCGUGGCGGACGGGUGUGUCAUGUCUGGAAACCUGCCUGAUGGCGGGGGUUACCUACUGGAACCGGUAGCUAAUACCGCUUAACUUCGCAACCCCAUAGAUGGGGACCUUAGGGCCUCUUGCCUUCGGCUGUGCCCAGAUUGGAUUAGCUAGUAGGUGGGGUAACGGCUCACCUAGGCCACGAUCCCUAGCUGAUCUGAGAGGUUGACCAGCCACACUGGAACUGAGACACGGUCCAGACUCCUACGGGAGGCAGCAGUAGGGAAUAUUGCGCAAUGGGCGAAAGCCUGAUGGAGACAGGCCGCGUGUAUGAAGAAGGCCUUCGGGUCGUAAAAUACUGUCAGCGGGGAGGAAGGGAGUAAAGAGAAAACAUUCGCGCAUUGACGUUACCCGCAGAAGAAGCAACGGCUAACUCCGUG
rnacentral:rRNA from 1 species